rnacentral:lncRNA from 1 species
AGAACGUGGACCACCUGGUCCAUCUACUUUUGAGUGAAAAGAACAGAGUGAGAAAAUGGCUUGUGCUUCUUGCACGAAUGUAUUGUUUUCCUAUAAUAUAAGAGCGAGUCUCCCAACUGAGCUAUUUCGUCAUUUUCUAAAAGACUCAUUGACGCGAGAGAUGCGAUGCGACAAUCUCAGUCUUACAACGACUUGGUUUACCGGAACUGCG